GAAGAGCACGGCCUCUGUCACUGAGAGGAAGACAGCUCAGCACCGGGCAGACUCAUUCAAACACAUUUCCAGAAUGAUGAUGAUCUGUGCCAUCCUACUUCUGUUUGUGGCCUCCGCCAACACACAGUCUUCAAACUCGUCUGCAACCACAGCUGCUCCAACAACAGCUACAGCUGCAACAACAACAACUACAACUGCAGCAACAACAACCACAGCUGCUCCAACAACAGCUACAGCUGCAACAACAACAACUACAGCUGCAGCAACAACAACUACAACUGCUCCAACAACAACCACAGCUGCCCCAACAACAACCACAACUGCUCCAACAACAACUACAGCUGCCAAAGCGGCUGCAGUUGUUGCAAUCAGCCUGACUUCUGUCAUAGUGACAGUCAUAGCUGCUGCACUUGUAUAAAGAGAUUCAUCAGUAUGGCCUGAUCAGUGGAGCCCAGUGAAAUAUGGUCGAUUUUGAUGAGGUAUAUCAUUACUUCAUUUUCUCAUCACGCAUUUGUUCACAUAUUUUUUAAAUAACAUCAAAGUAAUGAAGUGCUGAAAAGGUUAGACCACAACAAUAAUAAUAAUAAUAAUAAUAAUAAUAAUAAUAAUAAUAAUAAUAAUAAUAAUAAUGUUCAUGAACCCAGUUGUGUGAACCACAGCAGGGGUUCUGCAGGGCAGGGAAGCUAAACUAACCAACUAAAGUACAAUGUUUAUGAAAAAGCUCGUUUUGAGUCAAAGAAAGUGGAACGGAGGGAGGUUGAAGUGCCCUCAGCCUGCUUGUCAGCACAUCUGAGAGCGGUUAAACGGUUCAUCUAGCUUUAUGUGUAGAAAAUGAUGCAGAGGGCUGAAGCAGAGUUUGGAGUGUGUAGAGCAUCUUUAUUUUUAAUCACAGCUAUAAAUCAAAGUAUAAGUCUGAUUCAUAUGAGGAAGAAAUGAAUGUGAGAAAUGAGUUAGAGUGUUGAAAAUGUCUGUCCUCAUGUGUGAAUUUUGUGUCCCCGGACCUCAUUAAUCUUUGAACUUAGCACAGUAGUGUCUGAGAGUGGCUAAGAAAAUAUAAUCUAUAAUAAUCACUCAGACUGAAUAAUGUGUGUGUGUUUGAAGAAAUAAGGAAGGAGUGUGAGAGUGAAAAAACACAGAGGAGUCACUCAUCUAAAAUAAUGUCUGACUUUUUAAAUGUGUGGUUUAACAUGAAGUCAAGUAUACUGAUAUGGGACUGAAUGUUCAUAUGUAAUAGGAUUUCCUGUGUUCAGAAUAACAGGGUCAGCAUUAGCUCUGAGCAGGUUAAUUAGAUGAGUAUACUUCAGGUCAUAUGAUUCUGUUUUCAUUAUUAUUUGAUUCUGCUUUUGCUUUGCUCCUGCUAAACUGCUUUAAUAAAAUAUCCUACAGUUAAAGUCGAAA